GACGAACGCUGGCGGCGUGCUUAACACAUGCAAGUCGAACGGAAAGGCCCUGCUUUUGUGGGGUGCUCGAGUGGCGAACGGGUGAGUAACACGUGAGUAACCUGCCCUUUACUUUGGGAUAACUUCAGGAAACUGGGGCUAAUACCGCAUAGGAGCUCCUGCUGCAUGGUGGGGGUGGGAAAGUGUCGGCGGUUGGGGAUGGACUCGCGGCUUAUCAGCUUGUUGGUGGGGUAGUGGCUUACCAAGGAUUUGACGGGUAGCCGGACUGAGAGGGUGACCGGCCACAUUGGGACUGAGAUACGGCCCAGACUGAUACGGGAGGCAGCAGUGGGGAAUAUUGCAAAAUGGGCGGAAGCAUGAUGCAGCAACGCCGCGUGCGGGAUGACGGCCUUCGGGUUGUAACCCGCUUUAGACUGUGACGAAGCGUGAGUGACGGUAAUGGGUCAAGAAGCACCGGCUAACUACGUG
rnacentral:rRNA from 1 species